UCGAGCUCCAAAUAACAACAUCUUGACAGUAGAGUGGAGCACAGCUGACCUGGAGCCAAAAUAUGUUUAUGUGCACCGGGAUGGGCGUUUUGAUCCAGAAAAUCAGCAUCCAUCUUUUAAGAACCGGGUGGAUCUGCAGGACAGACAGAUGAAGGAUGGAGACGUGUCUUUGAUUCUGAAGGAUGUGACGAUUAAUGACACUGGAACAUACGAGUGUCGUGUUGUCCAGAAAGGGACAAGCAACAAGAACAGUGAUCCUGUCAGCAUAGUCACACUGAGUGUUGAUCCUCCGGGUCAGCCAAGAGGACUUACGAAAGAUGGAUGUGGUGGACUGGAAGCUGGUCUAUUAGUUCCUGCUGUGCUUCUUGUUGCUGCUGCUGUUGUUUUUUGAUCCACAGAGAACAUGAAGUGAUCACAACGUCAGGAUUCAGCUUCUCAGUGAACUGCAGCAUGUUUGAAAUGUCUCAGAGUCUCAUGUUUUUGUUCUCAGUGUUGUCAUGAAAUGUGGAAAGAAAACAUAAUCAGAGAAUGGACAAAUUAAUAAUCCCAAAAGUUGAUUCUGUUCAUCUGGACGUAGCGUUUUCAGUGGGAGAAACGUUUGGUCAUCCAAUCUUAUAAAUACACCACCAUAGUUUCAGUCAUUAUGCAAAUGUACUAUUUAUAACAUGAUAAAGCAGUGCUGAAAGAAAAGCAGGCCUUCGUCCAUUAUUUUGUAAACAACAGAGAUGAGGUCCGUUUUUUGUUUGUUUGUUUUUUAAUGUAAGUGCUUUCUAUCUA
ensembl:lncRNA